rnacentral:tRNA from 1 species
GCUUGGGUACGCCAAUUGGCAGAGCGGCCAGCCUUAAAAGUUGGUGGCUGUGGGUUCGAAUCCCUCCCCAAGCAUCA